rnacentral:piRNA from 1 species
UAGUUGUCUAAUUGUUGUAUAAAGAAAGCUC